rnacentral:rRNA from 1 species
GCGAAACCCUUUNGACGAGUNNAGGUUUUUGGAAGGGCAGCUUCUAAUGAGUCGUAAAUUUGAUAUAANGCNAAAUCCUUGCCAGAGACCNUUAGCGCACAAGUAGAGUNAUCCGAAGAUGAAAAGCAUUUUGAAAAGAGAGUCAAACAGUACGUGAAAAUGUUGAAAGGGAAGCGCUUGCAAUCAGAAUCGUUUGCAGAAGCUCAGCNUUCUUUUGGGAUGAUGUAUUCUUCUGUCAACGGGCCAGCACCAGUUUCGGCGGCUGGAUAAAGACUUUGAGAAUGUAGCUCUUUUCGGAGAGUGUUAUAGCUCGGAGUGUAAUGCAGCAGCCAAGACUGAGGUCCGCGCUUUUGCUAGGAUGCUGGCGUAAUGGUUGCU